ACCGGGCACAGUGGUGCACUCCAGUAGUCCCAGCUACUUGGGAGGCUGAGGCAGGAGGAUCACUUGGGUCCAGGACUUCUGGAUUGUGGCUUGCUAUGCCAAUUGGGUGUCUUCACUAAGUUCAGCAUCAAUAUGGAGACCUCCUGUGGAUGGGGGGACCACUAGGUUGCCUCAGGAGGAGUGUAAGGUUGGAAAUGGAGCAGGCCAAUACUCCUGGCUGAUCAGUAGUGGACUGGGAUUGCGCUCCAGCUUAAGCAACACAGUGAAACCCCAGCUCUU
rfam:Otolemur garnettii contig014740, whole genome shotgun sequence.